CCUAGCCACUAGUAGUAGCAGCCAACCUUUUCUUUUUUCAUUCCCCUCUUCUCUCUCUCUCUGCCCUGCGCCUCCAGACUCCCUUCUUGUCCAAAUUUCUCCAUUCUUCUCUCUCCGUUUCUCGAUCUUCUCACUCCAGGUGGGCACUGAAGUUGGGUGGAUGAAAUCCUUUUCCUCCUCAGAUCACAGGAACAAGAAACAGUUGUUGCAUGCCUCAAAUCGUUACUGUUUCGACGAGGGUUAAUGGAGAGAAAGGGUAAAUUUGCAGCCGAAUGCAGAAAAAAAAUGUGCUUCAAGCUCCAGAUAUUAAAAAAAAAAAUCAUGAAAAAAUCGAAAAAAAAACCGAAACCGAACCGAAAAAAAUCAAAACCGAAAAAAACCGAAAAGAAAAAAACCGAAAAAAAAUCGGACCGAAUCGAACCGAACCGAAAUUUCGGUUUGGUUUCGGUUUUAGCAAAAAACCGAACCGUUUCAAACCGAACCCAGCCCUACUGCUUCCUUCUACUUCUCUCUUCAUUAAGGUAAUAUUCUUGUCUUCAUCUGGUAAUCUUGAUGUGGUACAGUCUGUUUAUGGCUUCAAUUCAUUUUUUAUUUGGGCAUUUGAAUUCUAGGGUUUUGGAUUUGGGGGUUUUCAAUUUCGUUUGAAAUUUCAGAAAGCUUUUUGCGUAAGGGUUUGUGUUCUGCAAUCUUCAUUGAAUCUAGCACUUUUCUUCAAUAGUUUGUACUUUAAUGACAGCAGCUGCAAUUUGUGUUUCUCCAUGUAGUUUGAUACUUUGAUUCAUUGACCUUUCUGCAAUAACUCUUCGCUGUAUGCAAGCUUUAGUUAGAGUUCAGGCUCGGGUGCGAGCAAGGCAUGUUCGCUGUUUGCAAGCUUUAAUUUGGGCAUCUUCGUUCAUGUUUUCAUAUUUCAAUUUGGAAUUCCCGAUUUAUCUCAAAAUCCUGAAAAUAUUUCGGGAUUCUUGAAAAUUUGGUUUGGGAUUGGUCUUCAAAAUUUCUGUCUCGAAAAAUUUCAGUUUGGGAUUCGGGAUACUUGUUUCGGUUCGGUAUCCCAUACCAAACUAGCCAUACUUUUUGGUUUGAGUUUUUUGGUUUUCCUUUCAAUGCACAUUGUUAUGAUUUGGGUCUAUGCAUUGGAGUAGAAAACAUUGUGUCAAACUCAAAUUUCAGUUUUAACAAUUAAGGUAUGUGCAUUAGUAGGGAAAACAUUAAAGUCAAAACUCUCAAUGUGGGUUUUAACAAUUUGGGUAUGUGUAUUAGAGAUGGUUGGAGUCAAACCUCAUCUUUAUUUCUUGGUCGAAUAACAUCGGGUCUCACUUUAGCUGAAAACUUAUAUACAAGUGUUAAGUAUCAGGUGGAUUGGAGAUGUUUUGAUUUACAUCUAGUGCGUUGAAGAUGGCCUAACUCUCCGGUGCAUUGGUGAGUCCUUGCUUCUCAUUUUUAGGCUCAAAUAUAACAUUUUCUUUAGUCCAACUUUUCCGACAUUUUGGCCUUGUUACAUAACUUUUGGCAAGGGGAUAUUCUAAACUACUUUAAUCUACUAUAACAGCGAUUCAUACUUAGGGUAGCCAACUGGCCUGACCCGCAUCUAACUAAAUGACUUAAUUGUCUUUAAUUAGUCUGGUAUAAAUGGCUCGAGUAUGUCUUGGAAAAUCCCUCUGAUUGAAUUUCCCAGAUUCUGGCUCUUUGGAUUCCUCGCUGGAUGAAGUUAUGAGGUGCUUAAUUCUUCUCUUAAUAUACCAUAGGUUAAUUUGUUUAUUUAUUUAUGUUGUGUUACCAUGCAGUACAAAGAGGCCCAAGGCUGGGGUUGGGAGCACUGAGGCAACCGAUGGGGCUGGGAGCAUCAAGACAACUGAUGGGGCUGGGAGAGAGCUGGAUGGUUCUUCGGAGCCGUCUAGCAGUGAAGAUUUUGCCUGGCUUCUUGAGAGAGCUAAAUUGUUCUUCGAAGCUGUCUAGCAGUGAAGAAUUUGCCUGUCUUCUUGAGAGAGAACUGGAUGGUUCUUCGGAGCCAUCUAGCAAUGAAGAAUUUGCCCGUCUUCUUGAGAGAGCUAGAUGGUUCUUUGGUGUCGUCUAGCAGUGAAGAAUUAACCCGGCUUAUUGAGAUUGAUGCUGAAAGGUACUUCUUUAUAAAGUAUGAAUUUCGGUUGUUAGAUGACUCAUUGUCAUAUGAUUUACCCUGCAAUACAAAGAAAUUGUUGAGCCAUUAUAAGCUUUACUUGGUUGUCGAUCUAUAUUACACACUACUUAAUUCCACUUAUCUAAAUCAAAUGACAGUUGGAGAGGAAUAAUUACGUAG